GCGCAUGUAGCUCAGCGGUAGAGCGUCCGUCUUUUCAGGCGGGAGGUCGGGGGUUCGACUCCUCUCAUGUGCA
rnacentral:tRNA from 2 species